GACGGGGGGAGCAAGCGUUGUUCGGAUUUACUGGGCGUAAAGGGCGCGUAGGCGGUCAGCACAAGUCAGUUGUGAAAUCUCCGGGCUUAACUCGGAAAGGUCAACUGAUACUGUGCGACUAGAGUGCAGAAGGGGCAACUGGAAUUCUCGGUGUAGCGGUGAAAUGCGUAGAUAUCGAGAGGAACACCUGCGGCGAAGGCGGGUUGCUGGGCUGACACUGACGCUGAUGCGCGAAAGCCAGGGGAGCGAACGGG
rnacentral:rRNA from 1 species